rnacentral:rRNA from 1 species
GGUUGAUCCUGCCAUAAGUCAUAUGCUUGUCUCAGAGAUUAAGCCAUGCCUGUCUAAGUAUAAACAACUUUGUACUGUGAAACUGCGAAUGGCUCAUUAAAUCAUCUAUAAUUUAUUUGAUUAUCAUUUACUACUUGGAUAACCGUGGUAAUUCUAGAGCUAAUACAUGCUAAAAAUCCCGACUUCUGGAACCGAUGUAUUUAUUAAAUAAAAAACCCAUGGGGGCAACCGCUUAUUAGUUGAUUCAUGAUAACUGUUCCAAUCUCAUGGCCUUGUGCUGGCGAUGUUUCAUUCGAAUUUCUGCCCUAUCAACUUUCAAUGGUAGGAUAGAGGCCUACCAUGGUGUUAUCGGGUAACGGGGAAUUACGGUUCGAUUCCGGAAAGGGAGCCUGAUAAACGGCUACCACAUCCUCGGAAGGCACCAGGCGCACAAAUUACCCAUUCCCGAUACGGGGAGGUAGUGACUGUAAAUAACAAUACAGGGCUUUCUAGUCUUGUAAUUGGAAUGAGUACAAUUUGAUCCCUUACGAGGAGCAAUUGGAGGGCAAGUCUGGU